CGACCACCGCGCGAAGAACGCCGAGUUCCUACGCUGCUCCCGCCGCCGCCAGGGGGCGCCCGACCGGCCCUCUCAGCCGCGGGAACGGAAGUUUGUCCUCCUCGGAACUGACCCCGGGAGACGCCGCGGCCUGCGGACACCGCGGGGCCGAGCCCAUGGCGGGAACCGCAGCUUCGUUCUCCUCUGGACCGGGCCGGGGAGACGCCAUCGGGACCUGACUGGCGGGGACUGGGAAAGACGCGGGAAGGGCGCGGGAGAGGCGAGGAAGGUGAGGAAGGUGUGCCUCGGAGAGCCCCAGGUGCUGGCUCCUGGUAACGCACCUGUCCCUGUCAGCUGUCAACUCACCUGCUCCAGCGCCUCUGAGAGCCCCAGGAACGCGUCCGAGUGGUGCACCUGUCACCUGUAACUCACCUGCCGCUCUCCCGUCAGCUGUCACUCACCUGGAUCUGGCCUCUGAGAGCCCCAGGCGCUGCCUGAGCUCCUGGAGCACGGACCAUCUUGGUGAUGCACCCGUCACCUGUCACUCACCCGUCAGCUGUCACUCACCUGGACGCGGGCCUCCGAGAGCCCCAAGCGCUGGCUGAGCUCCUCGCGCAUGAACGCGUCUGGGUAGUGCGUCUCUUCGAACAGGCGCUCCAGCGCCUGCAGCUGCUCCAGUGAGAAGUUCGUGCGGCUUCGCCGCGGCUUCAGCCGGGCCCCGCCCCCGCCGCCUUCCUCCUCCUCCUCCUCUUCGGCCUUCAGGGCGCCUGUGCGGGAGGGGGUGGGGCAGGGAGGGGAAGAGACCGGGUCUGCAGCGGGCCCAGGACUUGCACGUGUGCUGGAGGUGGGAUCCAGGCUGGGCAUGCUGCUUUACUCUCGACCGUCGGUCAUUAAUUAUCGAAUAUCGAUUAAUUGUUAUUUACUAUCAAUUAUUUAACUAUCCAUUAUUGGUCAUUGAUUAUUAGUAUUGAUAAUCGAUCAAUUAUUGCUGGUUGAGAAUUAUUGCUAGUAUUGACGGUCUACUAUUGAUAAUUGACUUCAUCUGUUAUUAAUGAUUAAUGUUAAGUAUUAAUUACUACCAAUUAGUUAUUGAUAUUAUUGAUUAUUAAUAAUUCUUAUUGGCUAUGGAUUGUGAUCGUUUUUCGAGUCCACCGCUGCCGGCGACGACCACAGCGUGAGAGCCCCACACGCGCUGGGCCCGCUAAAGACUGCCUUAUGACUAUUAAUUAUUUAUUAUUAUUAAUAAUUAUUUCUAUUUUGGCUCCGCCACUGCGGCUACAACAACGUACCAGUGUCCUCUGGGUGCAUGGGCAAUCCGCACGCGCUGGGCCCUCCAAACCCUUUAUUAUUAGUGUAGUUAACUAAUAUUAUUAUUAUUAUAUCUUCUUCACCACUGCCGGUUACAACAAAGCACAAGUUUCUGCUGGGUGCGUGCGAGACCCGCACAUGCUGGGUCCUCCGAAUGCUCCUUCUUUAUUACUAUUUAUUAUUAUUAUUCUGAUGAAGACCGAAGUGUGCGAGACAAUCACCGGGCCUCCGGAGGCUGUCUGUGGUUAUUAUUUAUUAAUAAUUAUUAUUAAUAAUAAUCAUUCUUUCGUCUCCACCACUUCCGGCUACAGCCACACACGAGUUUCCACUGAGUGCGUGCCAGACCCGCAUGCACUGGGCCCUCUGAAUGCUUUAUUAUUAUUAUUUAUUAAUAUUAUUAACUACUAUCAGUGUCGUUUCUGCUCCACUACUGCCAGCUACAACAAUGUACGAGUGCCGCUGGUUGCGUGCAAGACAGCUGGGCCCUCCGAAUGCUGCUUUAGUAUUAUUAACUAAUAUUAACUAAUAAUUAAAAUAAUGUUGCACUAGUUUCUGCUGGCUAUGUGUGAGACCCUAACGCUCCGAAUGCUCCAUUAUUAAUCCUCAUUAUUAAUUACUAUUAUUGAUAUUUCUCCGUUUCCGCCUGCCAAAACGGACUUUUUUUUUUAAUGUUUGCCUUGGGAGGAAGCAGGCCUGAGUGAGCCAGGCCAGGAGGUCUGCGCGCCCUGUGCCCUGGUCCAGGACCCCCGCCCUCCCCCACCCCAGCCCUGCCACCUGCGAGGCCCCUGGGCCUGGUUUUGAUUUGCACCUGGGCGGCUGCCUGCCUGUGACGGAAAUGAGGGCAAAAAAAAAAAAAAUAGAUUUUGACCCGGACUUUGUGCAAAUGCAGUGAGGAGACCCGGACUUUGUGCAAAUCCUCAGAGAAUCGGACUUGGUGGAAAUUGUUUAAGGAGAUUGGUAUUCUGUGCAAAUCCUCUGAGGAGACCAGCACUUUGUGUAAAUCCUGUGAGGAGACCCCGGCGUGGUGCAAGUCUUCUGAGGUGACUGAUGUUUUGUGCCAGUCGUCUGAGGAGACUGACAUUUUGUACCAGUCGUCUGAGGAGACCAGGACUUCGUGCAAAUCGUCCGAGACUGGGAAUUUGGGCAAAUGCUUUGAGGAGACCCAGACUUUGCGCAAUCUUCUGAGGACACCAGGCUUUGUGCAAAGCGUCUGAGGAGACCGGGACUUUGUGCAAAUCCUUUGAGGAGACCCGGACUUUGUGCAAAUUAUCUGAGGAGAUGGAUAUUUUUUGCAAAAUCUUUGAGGAGACUCGGAUUUUGCGCAAUCUUCUGAGGAUACCCGGGCUUUGUGCAAAGCGUCUGAGGAGAUCGGGACUUUGUGCAAAUCUGAGGUGAUUGAUAUUUUGUGCAAAUCGUCUGAGGAGACUCGGACUUUGUGCAAAUCAUCUGAGGAGACCGGGACUUCGUGCAAAUGCUUUGAAGAGACCCGGACUUUGUGCAAUCUUUUGGGGACACCCGGGCUUUUUGCAAAGCGUUUGAGGAGAUCGGGACUUUGUGCAAAUCUGAAGUGAUUGAUAUUUUGUGCGAAUCGUCUGAGGAGACCGAGACUUCGUGCAAAUGCUGUGAGGAGACCCGGACUUUGUGCAGAUCUUCUGAGGUGACUGGUAUCUUGUGCAAAGCGUCUGAGGAGACCGGGACUUCGUGCAAAUCUGAGGUGACUGACGUUUUGUACGAAUCGUCUGAGGAGACCGAGACUUCGUGCAAAUCUGAGGUGACUGACAUUUUGUACGAAUCGUCUGAGGAGACCGAGACUUCGUGCAAAUCUGAGGUGACUGACAUUUUGUACGAAUCGUCUGAGGAGACCGAGACUUCGUGCAAAUCUGAGGUGACUGACAUUUUGUACGAAUCGUCUGAGGAGAGCCGGACGUCGUGCAAAUCUCCUGAGGAGACCGAUAUUUUGUUCGAGCCGGCUGUGAAGAUUCGGACUUCGUGCAAAUGCUCUGAGAAGACACAGACUUCGUGCAGAUGCUGUGAGGAGACUCGGAAUUUGUGCAGAUCUUCCGAGGAGACUGAUAUUUUGCUCAGCUCCUCUGAGGAGACCGGGACUUUGUGCAGAUCUUCUGAGGAGACUGAUACUUUGUUCAAAUCGCUGUGGAGACCCAGACUUUGUGCAAAUCCUGUGAGGAGACCCGGACUUUGUGCAAAUUGUCUGAGGAGACCCGGACUUUCUCACAGUCGGCGGGUGGCGGACCGCGGGGAGCACCCCGCGUGCUUGCGCGUACACCUCAGAGACGGCGGCUGCUUGGCCGGGGGGGGGGGGGUCCCCCGGUGGACAGCGAGACCCCUCCCCUCUCCCCCACGUCAGCCCUGGCCCUGGCCCUGUCUGUUUCCUUAGCGAUCCUACAGAGAGACUUGAGUGAGCUCCGGGUGGGGGAGUAAUCUUACCUUCGGGGGCGCCCCUGGACGCGCCAGGGUCCCGGCUUCGGUCCUUGUGUCCGUCGUCGUCCGCCGGGUCCUUGAACAGCCGCAGCGCGCAGCGUCCGGUGCCGCCGUCGUCGCUGCGGUCCGCCAGGCCAGGCUCCAGAACUUGGCGGAAGCUGAGUGGGUCCCGCUUGGGUCCGCCAUCCGCACCUUCCCCACCCGAGGGACUGGGGCGAUCGAAAGAUUGGGACACGAAGGCGGCGACAUGGGAAAUCUAUAGUUGAGAGCAUCGACGAGGGAGAUUCGGGGAUCUGCAGCCCGGGCGCCCCGCCCCGCACCGGCCCGGGAGGGAGAGGCCGACACUUGGUCGCGAUCUGUGAGAGGGAGGCUUUGCAGCGACGGGCUGAGGAGACCCGGACUUGUGCGAAUCCUCUGAGGCCAGAGACUGUGCGCAUCGUCUGAGGGACUGACACUGUCUAGCGAUCGGGUGAGGAGACUGAUACUUGGUGUGCAAGAUCCUCGGAGGAGGUUGAUGCUUUGUAGAGAUCUGCGCGGUGAUUGACACUUGGUGGGGUCUUGAGGAGACUGACACUUUGUGCCAAUCAUCUGAGAUUGACACUUUCCGUCAAUCAUCUGAGGAGAUUGACACUUUGUGCCAAUCGUCUGAGGCGAUUGCUAUUUUCCAGUCCGCUGAGGAGAUCGAGAUGUUGUGCCAGUCAUCUCAGGAGAUUGACAGCUGGCGGCGAUCGCCUCUGUCCGGCCGUUUGCGCUGAGGCCGCCAGAGCUACGCGCUCUCCGGAGGCGCCCGGGGGCAGCGGAGCGAGGCGCCCGGGAGAGGCCGUGCGGGGCAGCCCGCACCCCGCGGU